UACGGGGGGGGCAAGCGUUGUUCGGAAUUACUGGGCGUAAAGGGCGCGUAGGCGGCCUGCUAAGUCGGAUGUGAAAUCCCUCGGCUCAACCGAGGAACUGCAUCCGAUACUGGCGGGCUUGAAUCCGGGAGAGGGAUGCAGAAUUCCAGGUGUAGCGGUGAAAUGCGUAGAUAUCUGGAGGAACACCGGUGGCGAAGGCGGGUCUCUGGGCCGUAACUGACGCUGAGGAGCGAAAGCAUGGGGAGCGAACAGG
rnacentral:rRNA from 1 species